AGAUAUCGCCUAAGAAGGUGAAGAACGUGCUGGAUUUCUACCGGAACAUGACGAGAAGAAUUGCAGUUCGAAAACAAUCUUCCAGUUGGAAACACGUUUGUACGCCGCUCACUCCCUGCACCAAAGUCCGUGGAGAAAAUCAGCGAUUUAACCAUAAAGGAGAUUGUUAAUCCCCUGCUGCCUCCACAAUCUAUUUAAAGUCCAGAGAGAGCAGCAGCAGCAGCACUCGAUGCCAUUUAAAGUGACACUUUAAUCACGAGCGGUUAAUGGACCACUAAUGGCAGACUUUGAUGUGGCUGUAAGUCAAGGUGCCCGCACACACGGGCCUCGGCGAGGGACACGUGUUUGCCAUGGUAUGAUCCCUCCAAACAUACUGGUGCGUGACACGCUGUGAUAAGACAUAACUCAGCUCCAAUGAGCGAGUGAAGGAAGAAAACAUACAAGCUCACAGAUAAGAUAAGAUAAGACAGAACCUUAUUAACCCUGAAGGAAAUUCUUGUUCCAGGUUGCUCCAAAAGUACAAAAAUAACAAUAACAAUACAAGAUUUCAUGCAUCAAAAGUGAAAUACAAAAAAAAGAGUGGUAAUGAUGUCAUUCUUUGUCAAACACAAUAAAGCCAAUAAUAUUGAAAUACAAAAAAUAAAUAUUGCACAUGAAAUUGAGAGUCAUUGCACAUGGUAAUGAGCUCUAAUACUGUUACUGAUACUGAUUACUUGUAGUGAUCUCACUCCGAUAAUAAACAUGUUAGCUUUCCUUCCCGCAGAAGGGGGAGGAGUUAUAGACAGGACAGGAAAUGAGAGGAAAGGGUCAUGUGCACUCUGCUCGAGACUAGCAUCAUCAUUUCUCUCAUGUGUAGACAACAUAUAAUAAACA